UACGUAGGUCCCGAGCGUUAUCCGGAUUUAUUGGGCGUAAAUCGACCGCAGGCGGUCAGAUAAGUCUGAAGUGAAAGGCCGUGGCUUAACCAUAGUAUGCUUUGGAAACUGUUUAGCUUAAGUGCAGAAGGGGAGAGUGGAAUUCCAUGUGUAGCGGUGAAAUGCGUAGAUAUAUGGAGGAACACCGGUGGCGAAAGCGGCUCUCUGGUCUGUAACUGACGCUGAGGCUCGAAAGCGUGGGGAGCAAACAGG
rnacentral:rRNA from 1 species